rfam:Pteropus alecto contig19273, whole genome shotgun sequence.
GGCUUCAUAGUAUAGUGGUUAGCACGUCUGCUUUACACGCAGAAGAUCCUGGGUUUGUGCCCGAGGUGGAGCCA